CACGAUUGUUUCACGAUGCCAGUCUUUCGUCUGGGACAGCCGAAAAUUGUGCAGUGUGUCUCAGGUUUUAAACAAUUCUUUCAGAUGGCUAAUUCAUUCAAGAAUUAAGCAAGUGCCUGUCUUUAUGAAUAAUCAUUGACUCACCCAAUUCAUUCAAAAAUGCUGAAUCAUUCAGUAACAAAACACCAAUGUGUGUUGCUCAAAGAUGCGUGAGUGUGCUGUGACCUUUGUUGUCAAGCCCUGUCUGUACGUAUGAACUUAUUGAAUUCUGUGAUGUUGAGUGAUUAGGAUUGAUUCAUCUCGUUCAUUCAAAUGUAAAAUUAUCAUUAAAUUAUUGAAACUGCAUUACUGUCAGGGAGUCUCUGUCACCAGUCACUAGCUCUGGACUCCAUGUCCCAGAAUCCUCCCCGGCUCACACCUGUUCCCUACAUUGCUCUCCUCUGCUCCUGGAUUACGACCUAUUUCGAUCCUGUUAGGCAUUCUAUUCAUUUUCAUUCCAUUGUGUAAUCAGUUAAUAUCAAGUUUAAGUUUCUAAGUUUGACCAGGGAAUAUUUCUGACCAUUCUUUAUAUAAAUACUUCCAUAAAUGAUGCCACAACCAUACUAAUUAAUGUAACAGGUACGGAAAGUAAUGUUCAUUUCAUAUGUAGAAUUGCACAAAAAUGUUCAUGAUGUAUACCUGAUGUGCUUGCUUGUGUGUGUAUACUGUAAAAACUAAAGGUGCCUCAAAUAUCCUUUUGAGUACUCGAGGAACUUCAAUUUAAGUGCCUCAAAGCUCUUUUUUUCAUAAUGGGUUCCUGGAGGAACCAUUUCAGUCUUUGCAGUUCUUGCAAGAACUUAUGGGAUCCUUGAAGCACUUUGUUUCCACUUCUGAGGUUCUGGAGUCACCCUUUCAUUACACAGAGACCUCAAAGUGCUCUGGAGGUUCCUGGAGGAACUCAAAUUUUUUAAAAGGGUUAUUGUAAGAUCUGUUAACAUUGAAAUGGUUCCUGGAAGAUCUGACUUGUAUAAGCCAGCAUCUGGAGGAACCCAGAGAUUCAUGUGACAGAAAUGAAAUAGGACUGAUUAUUAUUAUUGUUAUUAUUAUUAUUUACUUUUUUGGAAUGGUAUGGAACAUAAUCACUUUUGUGGCACUUGGCAUGUGAAAACAAAAAACUUGGGCAUGAUUAGAAAAGACUAAAUAGUCUUACAAAUUGUCAAAAAAAAAAAGGGACAUGCAAAAUAUACAAAUCAGCCAGGUAUAUCUAAAAAUUAUGUCUGAAACACUGUUUUCAGCAAUAGGGAAUAUACACAUAUAAGGCCAUACAGGCAGUGGCUACACCAUGGUAUUACAGAUUAUUUUCUUUAUUUCUUUCUGUCAGAUUGCACUUUUAUGCCUCCAUUUGUUGGAUUUUAAAUACUUUUGUUGUAUAACUUAAAUACUGCAAUAACUGAAAAAUAGUUUUUAGUUUAGAAACAAAUGUAAAAUUAUUUGAAGGUAGAUAUUGUUUUCCCUGAAACUUUAAAGCAAACAUUAAAAAUAUUAUUGAACUAAAUAUGGCUCAACACAUUGAUUUCAUUAAAAAUACACUAAUUAUAACAAUCAGUACAAGUGUAAUAUUUAGAAUUUUUAUUUCCCUAAUGAAAUAAGUUUCAAUUAUUCAGAAAUAAUUGUUUAACAAUUAAUAUAAUAAAAAAGUAUGCUGUUAUCAAGAAGAAGAAAAUGUCCUCGCGCACCUGCUGUCUGCUCGCGCGCGCGCAAGUGUGAUUUCAAAUACAAAGUAUCAUCAUUAACGGUUCCUCUCCUCAAACAACCACAGCGGCAGGACUGUCUAACAAAAGGUGAGUCAAUUCUCCAAAAUAAAUCUACAGAUUUACUAUUCGUACACAAAUUUCUGUACUGACACGCUUAACUGUAUGUUUUUAUAUUUAAAUGUUUGUUGUUUACCAUUUUAACCGCUAAUUUAAUAGCCGCGAUGCUAGCUAUCAUAAUGAACUUCGUGGGACGAAAUGGAGAGUAUUAAAUCACAAACGGCGAUAUUUAGUCAGCUUUGUUCAUUAUAUUCACUUUUAGUCAUUGUAACUCUGUUCUUUUCUGAACUAAUUUGUUGUCGUUUACGUUUGUUAAUCGUUACCCAUCCAUGUUACAUGUAGACUAUCUAAUAGCUUAUUUUUCGAUUCAUUUAACUUACAGAAAAAAACUGUUUUUGUCCUUUUCUCUCCUCAGAACCUAUACAUUUAGCAGGGUUCACUGAGCAGCACUAAUCAGUUAAUGAAGACGUUGUAUGAUUCAUGAAUAUGGCUCUGUAGUGGACUGCUGGAGCUGCUGAUGUCUGUUGCUGGCUGACAAUAAAGUGAUCUCUUUGGACUUACCUCAUCUUUUGAAGAAAUCCGAGCCUUGCUCCUGAUCCUGCUGUGCUGGACGGUAUAUGAUUAAUUGAGAAUCUUACACUAACUGUGGUAAUGGAGACCCAUUUGGUGAGAGCAGCACUGCAGAUUUUCCUGAUGGUGAGGAGCUACUUGCUGACAAACCUACCAGCAUGAUUUCACCUUACUAUAAGUGCCUUUGUUCUAUUCAACAUUAUACAGAAAAGCUGUUAAACGUACAGCAAAGUGUACUAUUUUUCUGCUGCAUUUGUUGGGUAUUCAAGAGGAGAUCAUCAAGCUACCUACAGCUGUCUUGAGGCUUAUCAGUUUCUUAAUUUCCUGUGUGAAUUUUCCCAAUCUGUGACCUCCAUUUAGAACAAGAAAGAAUGUUAUCAUUGACUGCGAUGUACAUUAAAUUUGCUCAUUUGAAUUGUACUAUUUUUGAGGUAUGAUUGUUUUAAAGUUCUAAGAUAUUUGAGUCACAUUUAUUUAUGGUUUUGUCAAGGUGUAAGUUUUAUUUUUUAUUUAUUUAUAACAAUAUUAACAAUGGUGUUCCCAUGAAUUUGAUUGUGAUGUGCAGUAUUGAUUAUUUAUUUGAAACUUCUAUGGAUGUUGUUGUUAAUCAAUAAACAAUGUUUGAUAUGUAUUCAUUUUAGUUUUUCUGUUUGUUUAUUAAAAUAAUUAAAUGUCAAUAGCAGGAACAAUAAACUAGAGGGAGGGAGAGGGGAACAAAUAUUAAAGAACUGAAAUUGAGAAAGGGUGCCUCGAAGCACCAAGGUGGUUCCUGACCAUUCUUAAUAAAAGGGUUCCUCCAGGAACCGUUAAAAGUUCCUCAGAGAACCACCCCUUUUUAAAGGGUGCCUAGAGGCUCUACAGAGGGUUCCGCCACAGUGGCAAAGUGAAGAACCCCAAAAGGUGCCUCCAGGAACCUUUAGUUUUUACAGUGUAAAUUUCUGAUAGCAGCGUUAGUCUUAAUUUCCUGUCUUUGCACCUCCUCUUCCCUUGCUGCACAGAGGUGCAUGGGAGAGGUGGGUUUCUAAUGAGCUCUGAUUAAUCGAAUUCAUCAUUGCUUUAAAAAUCACUCUUAUAUUUUUAUACUCUGUUUAAAUCAUAUAUGUGACAUUAAUUUACGUGUAUAUUUGAUUAUUUCUGUAUUUUCACUAAGUUUGAUCAGUUUUAUACUUCAUGGAUGCACUUGAAGCACGUGCUAAUUGCGUUGCACUUUACAUUCAUUUAACAGAAAAGACGAGAAGGGCGAAAAACACACUAAAGACUUUUUCAUGUUUUAUUCAGGUAUGCUGUUUAGUCACUCGCUGUUAAAUUGAUUUUAUUGUUUGAAAGUUUUAUUCUAUUUUCUCUUCCCUUGCUGCACGGUCUGUGCGUGGGAGAGAAAAGACGAGAAGGGCGAAAACACACUGUAAAGACUUUUUCAUGUUUUAUUCAGUAAAUGAAGAGUCGAACCGUCAAACUGUUGUCCGUCUGGUUACUACUCUGGAAAAAAAACACAACGCAGAUUACACCGGUCACAUUAACAUUCAUUAUUCAUUUUUUUAAAAGAUAUUCAGUUCAACCUCUUGCUCUGAACACAAGCAGGUCACUUCACAAACACUUUGAACUCAGCUACACACCUUCAAAUUUAUAAAACCUUGUACCUUUCUUUAUACAGAUGGUUUUUAGAAUAAACACAACUUAAAAAAAUACAAAUUGCCUGACAUACCUUAUUAGGCUUGAAACACCAUCCAAUGCAUAUCCAGGGGAGUAACGAAAUACAUGUAACGUCGUUACGUAUUUAAAAUACAAAAUGAGUAACUAUUUCGUUAUAGUUACAUUUUAAAUGGGUGGUAAUCAGAUUACAGUUACAUCCCAAAAGUAUUUUAGAUUACCAAAAUAAUUACUUUGAUGUUUAAUGUCAUUUAUUUUAUUUAAUAUUAAUGUAAAAUGAUUUUAACCAUGAGCCAACUGAUACUGAGA